rnacentral:rRNA from 1 species
UACAGAGGUCUCAAGCGUUGUUCGGAUUCAUUGGGCGUAAAGCGUGCGCAGGCGGUUCGUUAAGUUCGUUGUGAAAGCCCCGGGCUCAACCUGGGAACUGCAAUGGGAACUGGCGGGCUUGAGUGUGGCAGAGGGGGGUGGAAUUCCGCGUGUAGCAGUGAAAUGCGUAGAGAUGCGGAGGAACACCGAUGGCGAAGGCAGCCCCCUGGGCCAACACUGACGCUCAGGCACGAAAGCGUGGGGAGCAAACAGG